rnacentral:rRNA from 1 species
GUGGGGAAUAUUCCGCAAUGGACGAAAGUCUGACGGAGCAACGCCGCGUGAGUGAUGAAGGUUUUCGGACUGUAAAGCUCUGUUGUUUAGGACGAAAGUGCCUGUUGCGAACAGUUACAGGUAUUGACGGUACUAAACGAGGAAGCCACGGCUAACUACGUGCCAGCAGCCGCGGUAAUACGUAGGUGGCAAGCGUUGUCCGGAAUUAUUGGGCGUAAAGAGCAUGUAGGCGGGAAUCUAAGUCUGUUGUGAAAAUGCGGGGCUCAACCCCGUAUUGCGAUGGAAACUGGGUUUCUUGAGUGCAGGAGAGGAAAGGGGAAUUCCCAGUGUAGCGGUGAAAUGCGUAGAUAUUGGGAGGAACACCAGUGGCGAAGGCGCCUUUCUGGACUGUGUCUGACGCUGAGAUGCGAAAGCCAGGGUAGCGAACGGGAUUAGAAACCCGAGUAGUCC